rnacentral:ncRNA from 1 species
UCUUAUUAAGAGUGGUGGAGGGAAGUGCCCUAUGAAGCCCGGCAACCGUCAUGAAAAUGAAAUGGUGCCAAAUCACACGAAGCGAAAGCUUUGGAAGAUGAGA